rnacentral:rRNA from 1 species
GUCAAAAAGAUUAAGUUAUUAAGGGCGCACGGUGGAUGCCUUGGCACUAGAAGCCGACGAAGGACGUUACUAACGACGAUAUGCUUUGGGGAGCUGUAAGUAAGCUUUGAUCCAGAGAUUUCCGAAUGGGGAAACCCAGCACGAGUUAUGUCGUGUUAUCGAUAUGUGAAUACAUAGCAUAUCUGAAGGCAGACGCGGAGAACUGAAACAUCUUAGUACCCGCAGGAAGAGAAAGAAAAAUCGAUUCCCUGAGUAGCGGCGAGCGAAACGGGAAGAGCCCAAACCAACGAGCUUGCUUGUUGGGGUUGUAGGACACUCUAUACGGAGUUACAAAAGAACAGACUAGACGAAUCAUCUGGAAAGAUGAAUCAAAGAAGGUAAUAAUCCUGUAGUCGAAAGUUUGUUCACUCUUGAGUGGAUCCUGAGUACGACGGAACACGAGAAAUUCCGUCGGAAUCUGGGAGGACCAUCUCCCAAGGCUAAAUACUCUCUAGUGACCGAUAGUGAACCAGUACCGUGAGGGAAAGGUGAAAAGUACCCCGGAAGGGGAGUGAAAUAGAACUUGAAACCGUGUGCUUACAAGUAGUCAGAGCCCGUUAAUGGGUGAUGGCGUGCCUUUUGUAGAAUGAACCGGCGAGUUACGAUUUGAUGCAAGGUUAAGCAGUGAAUGUGGAGCCGUAGCGAAAGCGAGUCUGAAUAGGGCGUUGAGUAUUUGGUCGUAGACCCGAAACCAGGUGAUCUACCCAUGACCAGGUUGAAGUUCAGGUAACACUGAAUGGAGGACCGAACCGACUUACGUUGAAAAGUGAGCGGAUGAGUUGUGGGUAGCGGAGAAAUUCCAAUCGAACCUGGAGAUAGCUGGUUCUCUCCGAAAUAGCUUUAGGGCUAGCCUCAAGUGAUGAUUAUUGGAGGUAGAGCACUGUUUGGACGAGGGGCCCUUAUCGGGUUACCGAAUUCAGACAAACUCCGAAUGCCAAUCAAUUUAACUUGGGAGUCAGAACGCGGGUGAUAAGGUCCGUGUUCGAAAGGGAAACAGCCCAGACCACCAGCUAAGGUCCCAAAAUAUAUGUUAAGUGGAAAAGGAUGUGGCGUUGCCCAGACAACUAGGAUGUUGGCUUAGAAGCAGCCAUCAUUUAAAGAGUGCGUAAUAGCUCACUAGUCGAGUGACACUGCGCCGAAAAUGUACCGGGGCUAAACAUAUUACCGAAGCUGUGGAUUGUCCGUAAGGACAAUGGUAGGAGAGCGUUCUAAGGGCGUUGAAGCAUGAUCGCAAGGACAUGUGGAGCGCUUAGAAGUGAGAAUGCCGGUGUGAGUAGCGAAAGACGGGUGAGAAUCCCGUCCACCGAUUGACUAAGGUUUCCAGAGGAAGGCUCGUCCGCUCUGGGUUAGUCGGGUCCUAAGCUGAGGCCGAUAGGCGUAGGCGAUGGAUAACAGGUUGAUAUUCCUGUACCACCAUUAUUCGUUUUAAGCGAUGGGGGACGCAGUAGGAUAGGCGAAGCGUACGAUUGGAUUGUACGUCCAAGCAGUGAGAUUGAGUGUUAGGCAAAUCCGGCACUCUUAAGAUUGAGCUGUGAUGGGGAGAGGAAAUUGUUUCCUCGAGUCGUUGAUUUCACACUGCCAAGAAAAGCCUCUAGCUAGAAUUGUGGUGCCCGUACCGCAAACCGACACAGGUAGUCAAGAUGAGAAUUCUAAGGUGAGCGAGCGAACUCUCGUUAAGGAACUCGGCAAAAUGACCCCGUAACUUCGGGAGAAGGGGUGCUCUUUAGGUUAACGCCCAGGAGAGCCGCAGUGAAUAGGCCCAAGCGACUGUUUAUCAAAAACACAGGUCUCUGCUAAACCGUAAGGUGAUGUAUAGGGGCUGACGCCUGCCCGGUGCUGGAAGGUUAAGAGGAGUGGUUAGCUUCUGCGAAGCUACGAAUCGAAGCCCCAGUAAACGGCGGCCGUAACUAUAACGGUCCUAAGGUAGCGAAAUUCCUUGUCGGGUAAGUUCCGACCCGCACGAAAGGCGUAACGAUUUGGGCACUGUCUCAACGAGAGACUCGGUGAAAUCAUAGUACCUGUGAAGAUGCAGGUUACCCGCGACAGGACGGAAAGACCCCGUGGAGCUUUACUGUAGUCUGAUAUUGAAAUUCGGCACAGCUUGUACAGGAUAGGUAGGAGCCUGAGAUACGUGAGCGCUAGCUUACGUGGAGGCGUUGGUGGGAUACUACCCUCGCUGUGUUGGAUUUCUAACCCGCACCAUUUAUCAUGGUGGGAGACAGUGUCAGAUGGGCAGUUUGACUGGGGCGGUCGCCUCCUAAAGAGUAACGGAGGCGCUCAAAGGUUUCCUCAGAAUGGUUGGAAAUCAUUCAUAGAGUGUAAAGGCAUAAGGAAGCUUGACUGCGAGACUUACAAGUCGAGCAGGGUCGAAAGACGGACUUAGUGAUCCGGUGGUUCCGCAUGGAAGGGCCAUCGCUCAACGGAUAAAAGCUACCCCGGGGAUAACAGGCUUAUCUCCCCAAGAGUUCACAUCGACGGGGAGGUUUGGCACCUCGAUGUCGGCUCAUCGCAUCCUGGGGCUGUAGUCGGUCCCAAGGGUUGGGCUGUUCGCCCAUUAAAGCGGUACGCGAGCUGGGUUCAGAACGUCGUGAGACAGUUCGGUCCCUAUCCGUCGUGGGCGUAGGAAAUUUGAGAGGAGCUGUCCUUAGUACGAGAGGACCGGGAUGGACAUACCUCUGGUGUACCAGUUGUCGUGCCAACGGCAUCGCUGGGUAGCUAUGUAUGGACGGGAUAAGUGCUGAAAGCAUCUAAGCAUGAAGCCCCCCUCAAGAUGAGAUUUCCCAACUUCGGUUAUAAGAUCCCUCAAAGAUGAUGAGGUUAAUAGGUUCGAGGUGGAAGCAUAGCGAUAUGUGCAGCUGACGAAUACUAAUCGAUCGAAGACUUAAUCAAAUUUUA